GACAAACCANUAACAAUUUGUCCGCCAGAAAAUUACGGGCGAAAGCCUAAAACUCAAAAGACUUGACGGUGUUCCACUCCUACCUAGAGGAGCCUGUUUCAUAAUCGAUAACCCCCGCUCAACCCAACCUCCCCUCGAACCACAUUCAGCCUAUAUACCGCCGUCCUCCUGCUUACCCUUUGAAAGAUCAAUAGUAAACCCAAUAGUCCACCAACUAAAAAGUCAGGUCAAGGUGUAGCUUAUGGAGAGGAGAAAAUGGGCUACAUUUUCUAUUAUUAGACUACCACGGAAAGUACCCUGAAACAAAGUACACAAAGGUGGAUUUAGAAGUAAGUUAAAUUAGAGUAUUUAACUAAAAUUAGCUCUGG
rnacentral:rRNA from 1 species